AAAUGCGAUAAGUAAUGUGAAUUACAGAAUUCAGUGAAUCAUCGAAUCUUUGAACGCACAUUGCGCCCGCCAGCACUCUGGCGGGCAUGCCUGUUCGAGCGUCAUUUCAACCCUCAGAACCCCUUGCGGGAUCUGGCGUUGGGGAUUGGCAUCCAGCCAGCCCCGAAAUCUAGUGGCGGUCCCUCCGCGACCUCCCCUGUGCAGUAGCGAUACCUCGCAGCGGGACAGCGGUCUGACCACGCCGUAAAACCCCCAACUUCUCAAGGUUGACCUCGAAUCAGGUAGGAAUACCCGCUGAACUUAAGC
rnacentral:misc_RNA from 1 species